UACGUAGGGUGCGAGCGUUGUCCGGAAUUAUUGGGGCGUAAAGGGCUCGUAGGCGGUUUGUCGCGUCGGGAGUGAAAUCCACUGGCUUAACUGGUGGCUUGCUUUCGAUACGGGCAGACUGGAGGUAUGCAGGGGAGAACGGAAUUCCUGGUGUAGCGGUGAAAUGCGCAGAUAUCAGGAGGAACACCGGUGGCGACGGCGGUUCUCUGGGCAUGUCCUGACGCUGAGGAGCGAAAGUGUGGGGAGCGAACAGG
rnacentral:rRNA from 1 species